rnacentral:rRNA from 1 species
GUGGGGAAUAUUGGACAAUGGGGGGAACCCUGAUCCAGCCAUGCCGCGUGUGUGAAGAAGGCCUUUUGGUUGUAAAGCACUUUAAGCGAGGAGGAGGCUACCGAGAUUAAUACUCUUGGAUAGUGGACGUUACUCGCAGAAUAAGCACCGGCUAACUACGUGCCAGCAGCCGCGGUAAUACGUAGGGUGCGAGCGUUAAUCGGAAUUACUGGGCGUAAAGCGUGCGCAGGCGGUUAUGUAAGACAGAUGUGAAAUCCCCGAGCUUAACUUGGGAAUUGCAUUCGAUACUGGUUGGCUAGAGUAUGGGAGAGGAUGGUAGAAUUCCAGGUGUAGCGGUGAAAUGCGUAGAGAUCUGGAGGAAUACCGAUGGCGAAGGCAGCCAUCUGGCCUAAUACUGACACUGAGGUGCGAAAGCAUGGGGAGCAAACAGGAUUAGAUACCCCGGUAGUCC